AUAAGAAUGUAGGGGGACCAGUGUUGCUGGUUGAGAUACUAUCCGUAAGAUAUAGACCCUUAGAACCUGAUCUGGUUGAGACCAGCGUAGGGAACAUGCAAAGUAAUUUC
rnacentral:ncRNA from 1 species